rfam:Ictidomys tridecemlineatus contig057092, whole genome shotgun sequence.
GGGGAUAUAGCUCAGUUGGUAGAGUGCUUGCCUUGCAUGCACAAGGCCCUGGGUUCAACCCCCAGCACCA